rnacentral:rRNA from 1 species
AGAGUUUGAUCAUGGCUCAGAACGUACGCUGGCGGCACGCCUAACACAUGCAAGUCGAACGCAGUAGCAAUACUGAGUGGCAAACGGGUGAGUAUAAUGUGGGAAUCUGCCUUUUGGUUUGGAAUAACACGGGGAAACUUGUGCUAAUACCAAAUAAGCCUUUACAGGGAAAGUUUUAACGCCGAAAGAUGAGCCUGCACUUGAUUAGCUAGUUGGUAAGGUAAAAGCUUACCAAGGCAACGAUCAAUAGCUGUUCUUAGAGGAAGACCAGCCACAUUGGGACUGAGACACGGCCCAGACUCCUACGGGAGGCAGCAGUGGGGAAUCUUGCACAAUGGGGGAAACCCUGAUGCAGCGAUGCCGCGUGAGUGAAGAAGGCCCUUGGGUUGUAAAACUCUUUCGUCGGGGAAGAAAAUGACUGUACCCGAAUAAGAAGGUCCGGCUAACUUCGUGCCAGCAGCCGCGGUAAUACGAAGGGACCUAGCGUAGUUCGGAAUUACUGGGCUUAAAGAGCUCGUAGUGGUUAAAAAAGUUGAUGGUGAAAUCCCAAGGCUCAACCUUGGAACUGCCAUCAAAACUUUUUAGCUAGAGUGUGAUAGAGGUAAGUGGAAUUUCUAGUGUAGAGGUGAAAUUCGUAGAUAUUAGAAAGAACACCAAAUGCGAAGGCAACUUACUGGGUCACUACUGACACUGAGGAGCGAAAGCAUGGGUAGCGAAGAGGAUUAGAUACCCUCGUAGUCCAUGCCGUAAACGAUGUGUGCUAGACGUUGGAAAUAUAUUUUUCAGUGUCGCAGCGAAAGCAUUAAGCACACCGCCUGGGGAGUACGACCGCAAGGUUAAAACUCAAAUGAAUUGACGGGGACCCGCACAAGCAGUGGAGCAUGUGGUUUAAUUCGAAGAUACGCGCAGAACCUUACCAACACUUGACAUGUUCGUCGCGAGACUAAGAGAUUAGUCUUUUCAGUUUGGCUGGACGAAACACAGGUGCUGCAUGGCUGUCGU